CUACGGGGGGCAGCAGUGAGGAAUUUUGCGCAAUGGGGGAAACCCUGACGCAGCAACGCCGCGUGAGUGAAGAAGGCCCUCGGGUCGUAAAGCUCUGUCAAGUGGGAAAAAAUGCUUGCGGUUAACAGCCGUAAGAACUGAUGGUACCACUGGAGGAAGCACCGGCGAACUCCGUGCCAGCAGCCGCGGUAAUACGGAGGGUGCAAGCGUUGUUCGGAAUUACUGGGCGUAAAGAGCGUGUAGGCGGUUUGGCAAGUCAGAUGUGAAAGCCCUGGGCUUAACCCAGGAAGUGCACUUGAAACUGCCAUGCUUGAGUAUGGGAGAGGAGAGUGGAAUUCCCAGUGUAGAGGUGAAAUUCGUAGAUAUUGGGAGGAACACCCGUGGCGAAGGCGACUCUCUGGACCAAUACUGACGCUGAGACGCGAAAGCGUGGGGAGCAAACAGGAUUAGAUACCCCUGUAGUC
rnacentral:rRNA from 1 species